rnacentral:piRNA from 1 species
UGCAAGCCUUAAUUGACACUGCAUUGUGGCC